AAACCGACACAGGUGGGUGAGGAGAGUAUCCUAAGGCCAGCGAGAGAACUGUUGUUAAGGAACUCGGCAAAAUGACCCCGUAACUUAGGGAUAAGGGGUGCCACCAUCAGGUGGCCGCAGAGAAUAGGCCCAAGCGACUGUUUACCAAAAACAUAGGUUUCUGCUAAGUCGCAAGACGAUGUAUAGGAGCUGACGCCUGCCCGGUGCUGGAAGGUUAAGGGGAUCUGUUAGAGCAAUCGAAGCAGUGAACUUAAGCCCCAGUAAACGGCGGCCGUAACUAUAACGGUCCUAAGGUAGCGAAAUUCCUUGUCGGGUUAGUUCCGACCAGCACGACAGGCGUAACGAUUUGGUCACUGUCUCAACAACAGACUCGGUGAAAUUGUAAUUCCGGUGAAGAUGCCGGAUACCUGCGACAGGACGGAAAGACCCCAUGGAGCUUUACUGUAGCUUGACAUUGGGUCUUGGUACUACAUGUACAGGAUAGGUGGGAGGCUUUGAAACCAGGACGCCAGUUUUGGCGGAGCCAUCCUUGGGAUACCACCCUUGUAGUACUGGGACUCUAACCAUAGGCCAUGAAUCUGGUCUUGGGACACUGUCAGGUGGGCAGUUUGACUGGGGCGGUCGCCUCCCAAAAGGUAACGGAGGCGCUCAAAGGUUCUCUCAGUACGGUCGGAAAUCGUACGUAGAGUGUAAAGGCAAAAGAGAGCUUGAUUGCAAGACAUACAGGUCGAGCAAGGAUGAAAAUCGGACUUAGUGAUCCGGUGGUUCUGCGUGGAAGGGCCAUCGCUCAACGGAUAAAAGCUACCCUGGGGAUAA
rnacentral:rRNA from 1 species